AGAACUGUGGCUACGUGGAAGGCCUUGCUGUCUGGCACUGUUGUAAGAAGAGGUUGGAAAUUAGAGAGAGGAGCUCCGUUACUAAGUCUGGAGUGCAGUGGCCCACAGACACAGAUUACUAUAGCCUGGGACCCUUGGGCUCAGCAGUCUUCCUGCCUCGCCCCGCUCCCAACUGCUGGGAAUAUAGCUUGACAGAUUUAUACUAGAAGAGGAAGAAACUCGUUCUUUGCUUCCUUCCUCUAUCCUGCAAAGAAGAGAGAUGCUAUCUUUAAACUUUUACUCUGGCCAACCUGGAGCUCUUCCUGUUAAAACUCAAGGACUUUACUUUCACACUCAUCUGGUGUUUCUCAGCCUCAGGAAUCAGAUGGAGGCAGAGUUUGGGGAGUGAAGUUGCUAUUCACACUGCCUGUGCUGCUCCAGUUUUACUUCCGAUUUCUACCCACUUUCAUUUUCAAUUCAUCCUGUGCUUUGGUUGAACUUUCUGGUUCAGCUGAAUAAUGAAAGCAGUUUACUGGAGUUCAGGAACUGGGAUUCCUGACCCCAACAGGGAUAAAUAAUAUUUUAAUUUCUGGUGAAAGGCAUAAGCAUAAGCCUGAAGAGGGAAAAUAUGCAAAAGGACAAAGUAAAUGAAGAAAAAGUGGAAGAUACAGAGCACAAGUCUGGAAAGAAAAACACAGGACAACUGAGGAUCACAAAGUAGGGAUACCUAAACCCACGUUGUCAUUGCCUUUGGAAAGUUUAAUCAAAUUAAGAUGAUUGCUCUGUUAAAAAAAGUUUGUUUUUUUUUUUUUCUUCACUUUUCAUUUCAUGACUUCAACUCCAUUUUUCACUACUGGGAAAUGAAAACCCUGAAAAUAGGAAAUGUUGAG